rnacentral:rRNA from 1 species
UGGGGAAUAUUGGACAAUGGGGGCAACCCUGAUCCAGCAAUGCCGCGUGUGUGAAGAAGGCCUUCGGGUUGUAAAGCACUUUAGUUGGGGAAGAAGUUAUGGAGUUUAAGAGAUGCCAUAAUUGACGGUACCCAAAGAAUAAGCACCGGCUAACUCUGUGCCAGCAGCCGCGGUAAUACAGAGGGUGCGAGCGUUAAUCGGAAUUACUGGGCGUAAAGGGCGCGUAGGCGGUUAAUUAAGUUGGAUGUGAAAUCCCUGGGCUUAACCUAGGAACUGCAUACAAUACUGAUUAACUGGAGUGCUGUAGAGGGUAGUGGAAUUUCCGGUGUAGCGGUGAAAUGCGUAGAUAUCGGAAGGAACACCAGUGGCGAAGGCGACUACCUGGACAGACACUGACGCUGAGGCGCGAAAGCGUGGGUAGCAAACAGGAUUAGAUACCCCCGUAGUCC